rnacentral:rRNA from 1 species
GCAAGUCGAGCGGUAACAGAUCCAGCUUGCUGGAUGCUGACGAGCGGCGGACGGGUGAGUAAUGCAUAGGAAUCUGCCCGAUAGUGGGGGAUAACCUGGGGAAACCCAGGCUAAUACCGCAUACGUCCUACGGGAGAAAGGGGGCUCCGGCUCCCGCUAUGGGAUGAGCCUAUGUCGGAUUAGCUAGUUGGUGAGGUAACGGCUCACCAAGGCCACGAUCCGUAGCUGGUCUGAGAGGAUGAUCAGCCACAUCGGGACUGAGACACGGCCCGAACUCCUACGGGAGGCAGCAGUGGGGAAUAUUGGACAAUGGGGGCAACCCUGAUCCAGCCAUGCCGCGUGUGUGAAGAAGGCCCUCGGGUUGUAAAGCACUUUCAGCGAGGAAGAACGCCUAGCGGUUAAUACCCGCUAGGAAAGACAUCACUCGCAGAAGAAGCACCGGCUAACUCCGUGCCAGCAGCCGCGGUAAUACGGAGGGUGCAAGCGUUAAUCGGAAUUACUGGGCGUAAAGCGCGCGUAGGUGGCUUGAUAAGCCGGUUGUGAAAGCCCCGGGCUCAACCUGGGAACGGCAUCCGGAACUGUCAAGCUAGAGUGCAGGAGAGGAAGGUAGAAUUCCCGGUGUAGCGGUGAAAUGCGUAGAGAUCGGGAGGAAUACCAGUGGCGAAGGCGGCCUUCUGGACUGACACUGACACUGAGGUGCGAAAGCGU